rnacentral:rRNA from 1 species
UACGAAGGGUGCAAACGUUGCUCGGAAUUAUUGGGCGUAAAGCGCACGUAGGCGGAUUUGUUAGUCAGGGGUGAAAUCCCGGGGCUCAACCUCGGAACUGCCUUUGAUACUGCAAAUCUCGAGUCCGAUAGAGGUGGGUGGAAUUCCUAGUGUAGAGGUGAAAUUCGUAGAUAUUAGGAAGAACACCGGUGGCGAAGGCGGCCCACUGGAUCGGUACUGACGCUGAGGUGCGAAAGCGUGGGGAGCAAACAGG